AAUAGAUACCCCGGUAGUCCACGCCGUAAACGAUGAGUGCUAAGUGUUAGAGGGUUUCCGCCCUUUAGUGCUGCAGCUAACGCAUUAAGCACUCCGCCUGGAGAGUACGGUCGCAAGACUGAAACUCAAAGGAAUUGACGGGGGCCCGCACAAGCGGUGGAGCAUGUGGUUUAAUUCGAAGUAACGCGAAGAACCUUACCAGGUCUUGACAUCCCACUGACCGGUAUAGAGAUAUACCUUUCCCUUCGGGGACAGUGGUGACAGGUGGUGCAUGGUUGUCGUCAGCUCGUGUCGUGAGAUGUUGGGUUAAGUCCCGCAACGAGCGCAACCCUUGAUCUUAGUUGCCAGCAUUUAGUUGGGCACUCUAAGGUGACUGCCGGUGACAAACCGGAGGAAGGUGGGGAUGACGUCAAAUCAUCAUGCCCCUUAUGACCUGGGCUACACACGUGCUACAAUGGAUGGUACAAAGGGCUGCAAGACUGCGAAGUCAAGCCAAUCCCAUAAAACCAUUCUCAGUUCGGAUUGCAGG
rnacentral:rRNA from 1 species